CAACUCCUUCAACCCGAUUCAAAUCCGCCGCUGCGCUAGUCCCGCGAGAGUACGCUUCAGCUUGCCGUGGCUGAAUUGGUAGUUGUUCGCCAAUCGGGAGAGGCCCGAGGAGCAGUUCUGUUUUGAUUGGCUGGCUGCCGCCGCCCCACCCCUGAUCCCGCCUCCCUAGCUCUAGUUGAAACUCUGCCCUCAGCAAGCUCUGCGUUGAGCGCGAAAGUCGAACGAGCAGGAGAGCUUUGGGAAUGCCACGGGCCAACGUAGCGACGCAAACUGCCAAUGGAUGCCAUUAAAUGUGAAGAGCAUGGGAUUGGAUCUGUGCAGAUUGUUAAGAGAUGUGUGGUUAUGGAAACAAGAGGAGAAAAAGAGUGCCCAUUCAUUGGUGAUGUUGGCUGAUCUGCAGGAACCCAUCCUACAUUAAGGCUGCAAUCCUAUGCACCUUUACAUGAGAGUUUGAUCACCUUUGGGGGGAAAUUGCUUGCCCAGCCUUGUUCACCAUUCACUUGCAACAGAAUUCAAGCACUUACGAGGAUUCAAAG